rnacentral:lncRNA from 1 species
AGUUCUGCUAGUUUAGUUACAUAAAUUCUGAUUUGUGUAAAGUAAGAUUUAUACCUUUCUGUUUUUCUAGAAGCUGUUUGUGCAGAGAGUGUGUAUAACUUCUUUGGGUGACCUACAGCAGAGCAGGACCUGUUGGUUGCAGCUGCAGUAUCCGACACUGCUGAGUUUUAUUUUCAAUUGCCCAGAGCACAGAAUGCUUUUUCCCACAGUUGGAGGAUGAUGAACUGCUUUGUGAUCUCUCUGGAGUGUGGAGUCUGAUGGGGUAACUGGACAGUGUCAGACACAGUACAGCAACUUUGUGCUCUUCUGCUCAGACCAAGAAAUGAGAGGCUCACUGGCAGUUUCAGAGUAACAAGAGUAACAAGUGAUGAUGAUCUUUCUCCACACAAUGACAUCUUUAAGGGCCAGAGAGAAAAUUACAGUCAAAACCAUGUGCAUUCAGGCAAUUUAGACAAUUUUCUGUGUGCAGACAAAAUCCCUGGAUUUCUCCUCAGUGUUUAUCAAGGUAGGCUUCACAAAGUAUUUCAGAAAUCCCUUCCUUCCUUCCUUCCUUCCUUCCUUCCUUCCUUCCUUCCUUCCUUCCUUCCUUCCUUCCUUCCUUCCUUCCUUCCUUCCUUCCUUC